GACGAACGCUGGCGGCGUGCUUAACACAUGCAAGUCGAACGGAAAGGCCCUGCUUUUGUGGGGUGCUCGAGUGGCGAACGGGUGAGUAACACGUGAGUAACCUGCCCUUGACUUUGGGAUAACUUCAGGAAACUGGGGCUAAUACCGGAUAGGAGCUCCUGCUGCAUGGUGGGGGUUGGAAAGUUUCGGCGGUUGGGGAUGGACUGGCGGCUUAGCAGCUUGUUGGUGGGGAGGUGGAUUACCAAGGCUUUGACGGGUAGCCGGCCUGCGAGGGUGACCGGCCACAUUGGGACUGAGAUGCGGCCCAGACUCCUACGGGAGGCAGCAGUGGGGAAUAUUGCACAAUGGGCGGAAGCCUGAUGCAGCAACGCCGCGUGCGGGAUGACGGCCUUCGGGUUGUAAACCGCUUUCGCCUGUGACGAAGCGUGAGUGACGGUAAUGGGUAAAGAAGCACCGGCUAACUACGUG
rnacentral:rRNA from 1 species